AACAAUUCGCUCAAACACCUCCCACCUCUGACAAAAUACAGUGUUUUGAUGCUGCUUACCAAAAGCAAGCAACCAUCUUUCUCCAUCUCUGCCCAUAAGGUCCGACUCUUCUUUCAACAAAGGACUUCCUCCCUGAAGUCCCUCAGUAGACAGUGAUACGGUUCCAUUUAGGAGCAGAAAAUUCCCUUUCUGGAAAAUAACUCAGCCAUUAUGCAGGUCUACCAGAGGAGGACUCGACAUCUCCAGUCUCCCACCCCAUUUCCAGGAGAGUGAUGCACAUUUCAGAAAUAUGCCUCCUCAGAAUGAGGACUAUUAACAGGGAGAAGGAGGAGAAGUUACUUGCAGAGCAUGGCCACCUGGCAGGGUGGGUCCAGCAGAAGAGAUGUGUGUUUUGGCAGCCAAAUGGUGUAAUACGCCAAUCAAUUAAGGCCUUUUCUCCAUGAGGUAGUUCCAUACCAUUCUUAACAGUUGAGCCAACUGCAAUUUAGAAAUACAUCUACUGAUUAAAAUGGACAAGGAAACUAUUGUAUAAAUACUAACUUUGUGCAGAAUGACUUCAGAUUUCUGAUCACCAAAACAGAAGAAAAAGGGCUUAAUUUCCCUGUGACUGCUCUCCAUGUCUUCCCUGUAAAGUAAGCCACGGAACUAAACGCGGAGGAGGCCUACUUCAUAUAGGGAUGGAAUGGAAACAGAUUUAUGCACAGGAACAUACUAGCGCUCCAACGCAAAGGCAGAGGGUUGAUCUAUCUGCUGCAGUGGACAUCUGCAGCUCUUGAAUACACAAAGACGCUACUGUAAGGGCUUAAACAAAUGAGUAACGGUGACACUAUAUCCUGGACUGCUUGAACCUUGUUAUGGAAAAAAGAAGCAGUAGCUAGGCAGGUGGAUAGUAUGACACUUUGAAAGAUACUGCGGCAAAAUCAACUGCUGUUGUCAGGGACUUGUAUUUUUUUUUCCAUUUUGAAGGGCUUUUUUAAUUAUUACUAUUUUUAUUACUACUUGUCAGACUGCUUGUCUGAAAUACAUUACGAGACUUAAUUUAUUUAUUUUUUAAAGGAAUACACGGCAUGCUGGGAGUCUGUGAUCGAAGACACUCUGCACAGGCCAACAAUCGUAAUUAUGCUGUGAUUUUAUGCCCAGCAGGAAACUUCAGAUUUGCCACCUAGGAACAAAGCUAAAGAAAUGAUCUAAGGUAGCCAAUUAAAGUUUUCAUAAAGAACCCCUCGUCUAUCCUCAAAAACCAAAAUCUCCUUUUACAGCACAAUCCUCUUAGCACUUAUCUCUCCCUUCCUCAUUAAUACAGUUUCACCUAGCUGGCACUGACACAUGCAGAGACAGGGAGGGAGAUACACACACAUAUAUACACACUUUACUUUUUUUCCUUCUGUUCUCCUGACCUUUCUGAUUUGGUUCAGCAUUUACACUAGCCCACCUGUCUGGCAGAUCUUCCCUGCAACGUGUCCUUCAAGAUGAAAAACAGAGUUUGAUAAUGCAUAGUGACAAACCUCGCAGAGAGCGAGCGGGCAAGCAAAAGAGAGAAAGCGCUAAGGGAAAUCGCUUCUAACCAGGAUCUGCUGCUGCACAGCUAAUCAGGCAGGUAUUCAGUUGUUCACUCCUGCAGACUUGCUUAGCAUAGAAAUAGGCUGUCUGCCCAGGAAGAUGAGGUAAUGUCUAGGUUUAAUGCCAAUCUCUGUAACUGGCAGGACACAUUGGGUAAAUAUUUCUGCUGCAGGAGACCACAUUAAUUUGGUUUUGCUACCAGUUUUCAUUAUUGUUAUUAUUUCUAUCGCUAUAAAUAUGCAUGAGUUUACCUGCUAACUUUCAGGAUGCAGAUGGCACAGUGUUCCAGGUAAGGCUGCCUGCACUUCCCACCUCAGAACUCCGGUAUUGCAUUCCCGCUUCAGAGCCUUCCUCAUCCUCAGCAUCAGUGCCAUUUUGUCCUUCCAUCCCUUCUGAAGGACCAGAUACUUAAACUCUCUACCCCAGUUCUGCAGUACUAGUUACCCUUUUCCACUCAGAGCAUAUUUUGCCCCUCCUUACUGUACCACAAAAAAACACCAUCUCUUCAAUACUGCAGUGCUGUGGUCAUUCACAAUUCUUUCUUGGGCUUUACCUGCAGAUUAAUACAGCCAUGUUUUCCAGCAAAUGGUCAAAAAUAUGAACAAAAUGAACAUCAAACAAAUCAGUUUUCUCACAAAACACUGCUAAACAAAUGUGAUCUUUUUGUCCUUUUCGCUCUCUUCACAAGUAGAAAAGAUCUCAAAAAGCUAAAGCAGACACACAAGAAGUUUGCGUCUGUUUAUCCAUCCUGCAGCCUCCCCGACACAGCUCUAAAACUUAACAUUUAAAGGAAAUUGGGAUUACACGAGCCUGUGGGAGAGCAAUAGAAGAACCCUUCAGGAACAACCCAGUUGAAUUCUGCGCAACAUGGUGGCUCCAGAAGAGGCAGAGAGCCAGGUCUCUUCAGAAGAGCAGAUUCCAGCCACUUAAAUAUGAUCCAUAUUGAUUUCUUUAAAUACACAGCACUGUCAGCAUAACGAGUGUGACCACGCUCUGGAUGCUACCAUGCUCCAUCUGCAGGCACCGCGGCAGCAGCAAGCUCAGGCCAAGGACCCCUCCCUUCUCAUGGGCUUGUCAGCCCCAGCUGUGGGACAAGCUCAUACCAUUCCGUGGUUCCUGGGCUUGAACCAAUUUUCAAAUCUCUAGCUCAAGUCCAACAUGGAAAUGCUUGCAUUUCACAUUUCAAAUAUCUCUUUAUAUUCUAUGUCUGUGCAUGAUCGCGUGAAUGUCAGGUAGAAUCAAUUGUGGUCACAUUCUUCUGCUCGAAAGUUUCAAACAAUCUUUGCUGUAUUAGGACUGAACAAAUUCUUUGCAAACUGGUAGCAAAUCUCUCGCAUGAAAACGACUUUCUUCCUUGUCUCACCUUUCAUCUCUUGAAUGUCAGCACAUAUUUUAAAUCACAUAGCAUCAAAGAGGAUAGGGAUAUGUUUCCAUUCAUUCUUUUCCCUUUGAUACCAGAAUAUAGAUGAGCACUUUAGUUUAAAAUCUGGUACCACUUGUGAUACACACACUUAGGACAGCACACCAACUCCUCAUUUUUUGUCCUCCGUGCUUCAAGACAUAUUGCAUUUUUAAACCACACUGUUCCAUUUGGUUCCACCAUAACCACCUCCUGCACCAGAUUUAACAACUACAGUACACAGCCUACCACAUGAAAGUAGGGUACUCGCUUUCUUGGGGUUCAACUAAUUCUGGGCAGACAUACGGUCGUACCCACUUUUAUUACAGUCGCGUAUUUCAACCAAGCUCUUUGUAGUUUCUGCUCAGGCAUCUCAAUUACAUUACAAAUUUGUAAUCACUACCAGUGAUUCAAACAUGAAAGGAACAUUUUAUGAGCAGAAAGACUUAAGAUCUGCAUGAAGAGGAGAGGCAGAAAAUGUCACGGUUUCUUUCAGAUGUCUCUUUAUGGCAAACAGCAAGGAUAAGUGAAGCUGAGUAAACUUAUGUAAAUAGUACAUCUGAAACGAGGUGCGUUUUCUUCCCUCUCACGUGCCCCAGACAGCAGCAGUAUCUGACAAACCUGAGAUGGAAAAUGAAGCAGAGACCUAUGUCAGAACUAGAAACGAACAUGACUCUGUUUGGCAAGAACGCAGUGACUAUUCACAGGCUGACUACACGCCAGAGCAUGAAGAAAGAAGCCCAUUUUCUGAUUUAGGGAUGGACGGGCACAGAAAUCCAACCUGAAAGGAAAAGAAGGAAAAAAAGUCCCCCCUCACAAUGAAGAAAAGAACAGCUAAAAUGAAAUGCAUGGUCUUAACGUUCCUGCCAUCAAGAAAUGCGACUGCCCAGCAAGAUUCAGUAACACAGGCUGACAAGGCGUAGGUAAUGGAUGUGCUCCACACACAUUUCCCGAUAGGAAUCUGUUCACAUAUUACAUAUUCAGCUGAGGCCAUGCCCUGGCAAAAAAAGACCAGCAUGGAUUUGACAGAUGACACAUUAAAGAGAUUUUUCAAUAUUUUGUAGCAGAAAAAUGUGUCUGUUUAGAGGAAAGCUGGAUAUGCCUGCUGCAAAACAGCAAUGGCAUCCAAGUAUUGGACAUUACCAGAUUGUACUGUAUACCAAAGUGCUAACACUCUUCUUCGCAUGCUUCCAUUUGCUGCCAAAACCAAACCAAAAUGGGAACUCAUCUCCAGGUCUGUCAAGUUCACAUAUUCUACAAAGGACAAUUUCACUUUAAAAUACUUGACUAGAAAUUAUUUUUAGCAAUUCCAGCUUUAAGUCAUGAUGUCAUCAAUACACAGGAAUCACGGACAGCUGCUUUGGAGUGCCACUACCCCUUGAGGUCAGCAAUACCUCUGUCUUACGUCCCUGACUUACUCAUUCUCUCCUUUGGUAUGAAAUGUCCCUCAAGAGCUUUAGCCACGUUCAGUUUGUAUCCUGGAGACAAAGUCUAGUGACAAGACAAAGAGAAAUGGUAAUUGUGACACUCAGCUUUCCCAAGGACACCCAGAUUCUUCCAACAAUUUUUCAUGUUGGGAUCUUUAGGAUUUUAUUUAUUAGCAGAUUUUAGAGAUGGAAACAUGAGCGUCCUAUAGCCAUGAACUAGGUCUGUAGAGUUAACGUCCUGCUCUGAACCAGGCCAAGUCUGAGCCAAAGCACUGCCCUCAGGGUGUCCUGCCAAGCAGAGACAAGAGAGCAAGGCAGACCGUUGGGUAUGCCAGAUUCUCUGUGACAUGAAAUAUGUGGCAUACUGUGGGUGUAAGCCUUGGCAGCCAGAGCAGGAAAGCUGCAGUUUGUGAGUGCUGAAGUACUUGUGACAAUGAGAUGAGGUAAAAAAACACUGUCUUUCGGAAGAUGGGUAGGGGGAAAAGGUCUUUCCCUGCCUCUAGACAGGAACUCACAGCAGUGCCCAGCAGCUGAAGACAUGGGAUCAGGCCAAUCCAUCAGCAGCAAGCAAAGGGUUUGAUAACUGGAGAGGGAGAUCUGGUGGAUACAAUGAGGGCACACAGAGAAUUUAUUAAAAAAAUAUAUUAAAAAAUCAAGAGGAUUUUGACAACAGGCGCACAAAAGUCACUCGGCAAAUCUCACACACAUCUUCAGGAUGAUGUGAACUUCUCACUUUUCCCUCCACUAUGCUGAGGAAAUUCUCCCCAAGCCCCUCAAGUGGUGACAAGUGCUCUUAAUCCUGCUCCCUGCCAAAACUCCUUUGUCCCCCCAACCUGCUAUAACGGCAGUGCAGAAAGAAGAUGGAAGAGGAGGAAGUAAAAGAUUCAGUAACAUGGCUUUCCUGUUUCCCAGUCACUGAAAACAAGGUUGAUGGAUCUUUUCCUGAGAGAAAAAAAAAAAAAAGCUUCUGUGUAAUUGAAGUUUUUCUUAUUUGCCAUGUCCUAACUGUGUAUCAUAACCACAGGACUAAAAGCAAUAUUCAGUUCCCUUCAACGCAAGCAGAAAUCAUAGAAUCAUAGAAUUACCCAGGUUGGAAAAGACCUCAAAGACCAUCAAGUUCAACCACAGUCUAACCAUAGUACCCUAUCUCUAACAACCCUCUGCUAAAUCAUAACUCCAACCACCACAUUUAGAGACCUGAGGAUAGGGAUUAAGUGAAUAACAAAGCCUAUCUUCCCCCUUAUUUAAUACUUAAACUUCCUUUAACACCCCCAUAUAAGCUAACCGAAAUUUAAAUAUUUAAAGAACUUCUCAAUUGAACUUUUGACAACUAAUGAAAUUCUCCCCUCAAAUACUUCCAUUACAAAUUAUUUCAGUUUGAUAUAAACUUACGACAAAACUUAUUCAGCACUGAGGUUUGUUUCUCAGCAAGCUUACAUGGCGCCUGCCUUACAAGGAGCAUCUACAUUACGGCCCUAACUCCUGGACAGCACAGCUUCUCGCUCAUCUCUACCAGUAUCUUUGUACCAGCAGCUGCAGGUCAGACAGUCAGGAGAUCCAGCUUGCAUUGAUACCAACCUCUUGCUUUUCAGAGCAAAAAGGCAGCAUUUCUCCCCCAUUUAUGUUAGCACGAACAGUUCAACAUUCAAAUUGCUUCUUAGUCUGUUGGUUGCCUUUGUGGCAAUUUCAAAUACCAGUGACAAGACAUUACCUAAUUUUGUUUAACGGCUGAGGUUUUGUGGAAGCAAGCAAACUAAUUUUCUAACCUUCUUAAUUACCUUUAGUUUCUGAUCUGUAGCCACUUAUCCCUGAUGACAAAAGAGACAGCUGAUUUCUCUGUGACAAUACUAAAUUAGGCAAAAUGCUGAGUUUUAAAAAGCUUAUUUGCAUUGCUCCAUCCUUCAGACUCCUGGACUUCUUAUGGAAAAUGCCUUGAUUGCCACCUCACCACGUGCCGCCAGCUCCUCCUCUCUGUCCUUCUCUUGUACCCUCUGGGUAGCAGAGAAGAAGAAGCAUUGACAACACUUUCACAUAGCUAAUCUUUAUGAACCAACAGCAUUUCUGACAACCCAUUACCUAGAAACUAUGGCUAUUACUGGAGGAAAGACAUUUUUCAACUACUUAGAAGGAUACAGCAACAGCUUCAUAAAAGCUUGACAAGUACAUCGCAUGUAUCGCUUCAAAACUUUACGCUACUCUACAUCAUCGCUCAGCAAUCUCAGUUCUCCAGGAAAUAGUUUUUCUUCUUUUUUUCUCCUAAAAGUCGUGCAGUUUGCACACAUAGGCUGCAAAAACCAAGCUCUCUCCAGGCGAUAAACAAGUUAACUCACCGUAAGUAGCAACCCUAAAGUCAUUUCUUAAGCUGAUGAAUACAAGGCAUUUGUUUACUGAAGCCAAUAAAAAAAAUAACAACAACGUAAUGUUCCCUUUUUCAGCAGGAAGCUCUGGUUUGCAAAGAACUUUUGGCAGUAAUGUCCUGAAUUCCUUUUCCUUGUGCAGAUCAACUAAUCUAAGGCUAACCAAUUAAUUAAAAAGAUGUUAUAGAGAACAAUACUGGAUCGUUUUAGCCCUUUCUCCGAUUCUACUGUUCCUUUCAUAGAACGGUGCCUUCACCUUCACUUACGAGUGCAAUGGGCAAGCAGUGUAGGCAGCAAGAGACGGCUGCCGUGAAGAGCCACCACCAGGAAAACAGCUUCAGCACAACAGGAUGGACCUACUUGGCAUCACUUCAGCUGAAAGAACAUCAUAUGAAGGAAAAACAAGUCGGGAUUUCAACCACCCACCUAUGCCCGUUCAUGACUUUGCUUCCUCACACUACCCACUCCACGGCACAAAGUUGGGCCCUAGGUUCUCACUUCCACAUUGAGGAGCAGAGUGGAAAGUUCAAUAACCUUUCCAGCACUGUGUAUUUUAACAUUAAAACGCCUGUGCAAGCAACAGUUCCUUCCUCAUUUGUGACCACACUUCUUCCCUGCAUAGUUACAGACUAUUUAUCUUUUUCAGUAACUACGAUACUUAUCCUUUCCUUAUAACCUGCAACUCAGCUUAUGACACCGAGACCAUUAAUAUCUGCUAUAUUCUGGUUAAAGUUAGCCUCGUGAAGCUAUAGCCAUUGAGCAGAGAUGGCUAAAAGUAAUUCAUAAUGCUUCUAAGCUUUCACCUGCUGGAAAUGCACCAAAAUUUGCUUUUUAAAUAUAGAUCACUGCAGGCUGCUGUUGAGUCUCAGGUCCUUCUCUACAGUGAUAUCUGUUUAUUAAACCCUUUUUUUUCUUUGUAAACACAGCAAGUUCAUUAAAG